UAAGGAAUAUUGGUCAAUGGACGCAAGUCUGAACCAGCCAUGCCGCGUGAAGGAUGAAGGUCCUCUGGAUUGUAAACUUCUUUUAUCUGGGACGAAAACGGGAUUUUUAUCUCAAUUGACGGUACCAGAGGAAUAAGCACCGGCUAACUCCGUGCCAGCAGCCGCGGUAAUACGGAGGGUGCGAGCGUUAUCCGGAUUUACUGGGUUUAAAGGGUGCGUAGGUGGGCUUAUAAGUCAGUGGUGAAAUCUCCGAGCUUAACUUGGAAACUGCCGUUGAUACUAUAGGUCUUGAAUUAUCUGGAGGUAAGCGGUAUAUGUCAUGUAGCGGUGAAAUGCUUAGAUAUGACAUAGAACACCAAUUGCGAAGGCAGCUUACUACAUAUAAAUUGACGCUGAGGCACGAAAGCGUGGGGAUCAAACA
rnacentral:rRNA from 1 species